rnacentral:rRNA from 1 species
UAAACGACUCUCGGCAACGGAUAUCUCGGCUCUCGCAUCAAUGAAGAACGUAGCGAAAUGCGAUACUUGGUGUGAAUUGCAGAAUCUCGCGAACCAUCGAGUCUUUGAACGCAAGUUGCGCCCGAAGCCAUUAGGUUGAGGGCACGUCUGCCUGGGCGUCUCGC